rnacentral:rRNA from 1 species
CCUACGGGGGGCAGCAGUGGGGGAUAUUGCACAAUGGGGGGAACCCUGAUGCAGCGACGCCGCGUGGGUGAAGGAGUGCUUCGGCAUGUAAAGCCCUAUCGGCAGGGAAGAAGCAAGACGGUACCUGACUAAGAAGCCCCGGCUAACUACGUGCCAGCAGCCGCGGUAAUACGUAGGGGGCGAGCGUUAUCCGGAUUCACUGGGUGUAAAGGGGGCGUAGACGGCCAUGCAAGCCAGGGGGGAAAGCCCGGGGCCCAACCCCGGGACUGCCCUUGGAACUGUUCGGCUAGAGUGCGGGAGGGGCAGGCGGAAUUCCUGGUGUAGCGGUGAAAUGCGUAGAUAUCAGGAGGAACACCGGCGGCGAAGGCGGCCUGCUGGACCGCGACUGACGUUGAGGCUCGAAAGCGUGGGGAGCGAACAGGAUUAGAUACCCUGGUAGUC